GAAAUGCGAUAAGUAAUGUGAAUUGCAGAAUUCAGUGAAUCAUCGAAUCUUUGAACACACAUUGCGCCCGCCAGUAUUCUGGCGGGCAUGCCUGUCCGAGCGUCAUUUCAACCAUCAAGCCCCCGGGCUUGGGUUGGGGACCUGCGGCUGCCCGCAGGCCCUGAAAACCAGUGGCGGGCUCGCUGUCACACCGAGCGUAGUAGCAAUCACCUCGCUCAGGGCGUGCUGCGGGUUCCGGCCGUUAAACAGCCUUACAAAACCCAAGGUUGACCUCGGAUCAGGUAGGAAGACCCGCUGAACUUAAGC
rnacentral:misc_RNA from 1 species